rnacentral:rRNA from 1 species
CAAUAGCGUAUAUUAAAGUUGUUGCGGUUAAAAAGCUCGUAGUUGGAUUUCUGCUGAGAACGACCGGUCCGCCCUCUGGGUGUGUAUCUGGCUCUUUCUUGGCAUCUUCUUGGUGAACGUUGCUGCACUUGACUGUGUGGAGCGCUACCCAGGACUUUUACUUUGAGGAAAUUAGAGUGUUUCAAGCAGGCAUACGCCUUGAAUACAUUAGCAUGGAAUAAUAAGAUAGGACCUCGGUUCUAUUUUGUUGGUUUCUAGAGCUGAGGUAAUGAUUAAUAGGGAUAGUUGGGGGCAUUCGUAUUUAACUGUCAGAGGUGAAAUUCUUGGAUUUGUUAAAGACGGACAACUGCGAAAGCGUUUGCCCAGGAUGUUUUCAUUGA